UCGGCUCAAUUUGAAUAAAUAUACUCUCAAAAAAAUUACUAUUAAGUUGAUAUUUUUGAUACUCGAGUACUUUAGUCUAACUUGUCUCGUAUGGUGCAAAAUAAAGGAUUUCACCGUCUCUGGUUAUGGAGGCAACAUAAUAAACAGCAUUAUUUAUAGAGAUUUUGUUUAUUUUUAGUUGUUGUUUUUUUUGAGAAUUUGUAAGAAAUGACUUGCAUGUUUAUUUUAUUCUAGUUAUAGCAGAUAGUCUCAUCAUACAAUAAUGUUAUAACACUCUAAUUCCACAUCGAAAGAUAUUGAAAAAAUUUGUCUGUAUAUAAGAAAUUAAGUAACUACCAAUAGUACAUUCAACAAGAUACUAUUGGGUCAAUGGUUUAAGGCUUUAUUUGGACAGAUUUGAUUCGAUUCGGACUUAGGAUAAAACCCGAGACCCUCGAAAGCAACAAAAUAUAAUUAAAUAAUAUUCCUUUUUGGAUUUUGACACAAUUAAC
rnacentral:lncRNA from 1 species